rnacentral:rRNA from 1 species
GAUGAACGCUGGCGGCGUGCCUAAUACAUGCAAGUCGAGCGAACGGACGAGAAGCUUGCUUUUCUGAUGUUAGCGGCGGACGGGUGAGUAACACGUGGAUAACCUACCUAUAAGACUGGGAUAACUUCGGGAAACCGGAGCUAAUACCGGAUAAUAUUUUGAACCGCAUGGUUCAAAGGUGAAAGACGGUCUUGCUGUCACUUAUAGCUGGAUCCGCGCUGCAUUAGCUAGUUGGUAAGGUAACGGCUUACCAAGGCAACGAUGCAUAGCCGACCUGAGAGGGUGAUCGGCCACACUGGAACUGAGACACGGUCCAGACUCCUACGGGAGGCAGCAGUAGGGAAUCUUCCGCAAUGGGCGAAAGCCUGACGGAGCAACGCCGCGUGAGUGAUGAAGGUCUUCGGAUCGUAAAACUCUGUUAUUAGGGAAGAACAUAUGUGUAAGUAACUGUGCACAUCUUGACGGUACCUAAUCAGAAAGCCACGGCUAACUACGUG